UACGGGGGGGAGCAAGCGUUGUUCGGAUUUACUGGGCGUAAAGCGCGUGUAGGCGGUCCGGUAAGUCCGCUGUGAAAGUCGGGGGCUCAACCCUCGGAUGCCGGUGGAUACUGUCGGGCUUGAGUACGGAAGAGGCGAGUGGAAUUCCUGGUGUAGCGGUGAAAUGCGCAGAUAUCAGGAGGAACACCAAUUGCGAAGGCAGCUCGCUGGGACGUUACUGACGCUGAGACGCGAAAGCGUGGGGAGCAAACAGG
rnacentral:rRNA from 1 species